rnacentral:misc_RNA from 1 species
UCCGGUUUGGCACCGGCAGUCUUUCUAGAGUUCCCGGCUUUACCCGCUGGCAACUAGAAACGGGGGUUGCGCUCGUUGCGGGACUUAACCCAACAUCUCACGACACGAGCUGACGACAGCCAUGCAGCACCUGUGCAUGGGUCCCGAAGGAGGGCCCUGGUUUCUCAGAGCUUUCCCAUACAUGUCAAGCCUAGGUAAGGUUCUUCGCGUUGCGUCGAAUUGAACCACAUGCUCCGCUGCUUGUGCGGGUCCCCGUCAAUUCCUUUGAGUUUUAGCCUUGCGGCCGUACUCCCCAGGCGGGGCACUUAAUGCGUUAGCUUCGGCACAGGAGGAGUCGACACCUCCCACACCUAGUGCCCAUCGUUUACGGCGUGGACUAC